rnacentral:rRNA from 1 species
AUUGAACGCUGGCGGCAUGCUUUACACAUGCAAGUCGAACGGUAACAGGGUGCUUGCACCGCUGACGAGUGGCGAACGGGUGAGUAAUGCGUCGGAACGUGCCGAGUAGUGGGGGAUAACGCAUCGAAAGGUGUGCUAAUACCGCAUACGUACUGAGGUAGAAAGUGGGGGACCUUCGGGCCUCACGCUAUUCGAGCGGCCGACGUCUGAUUAGCUAGUUGGUGAGGGAAAGGCUCACCAAGGCGACGGUCAGUAGCGGGUCUGAGAGGAUGAUCCGCCACACUGGGACUGAGACACGGCCCAUACUCCUACGGGAGGCAGCAGUGGGGAAGUUUGGACAAUGGGCGAAAGCCUGAUCCAGCCAUGCCGCGUGUCUGAAGAAGGCCUUCGGGUUGUAAAGGACUUUUGUCCGGGAGCAAAAACCCAGAGCUAAUAACGCUGGGGGCUGAUAGUACCGGAAGAAUAAGCACCGGCUAACUACGUGCCAGCAGCCGCCGUAAAAC